rnacentral:rRNA from 1 species
CCGACGGUGAGAGGUGAAAGCUGGGGGAGCAAACCGGAUUAGAUACCCGGGUAGUCCCAGCUGUAAACGAUGCGCGUUAGGUGUGUCAGUGACCACGUGUCACUGAUGUGCCGAAGGGAAACCGUGAAACGCGCCGCCUGGGGAGUACGGUCGCAAGGCUGAAACUUGAAGGAAUUGGCGGGGGAGCACCACAACGGGUGGAGCCUGCGGUUUAAUCGGACUCAACGCCGGAAAUCUCACCGGAUAA